CACAACUGCCCUGUGCAAACUCUCUCAACAACUUUGAGAUUUUUUAUUUUCUCUUCUUGCUGACACAUCUUCCGUUGGCAUCAACAGCACUGUGAAAGCAACCGGUGAUAUCUUAAGUCGGCAUAGAUAGCUCUGUCAUCGUAGAAUCAGCCGGUCUCACAGUAUCUUCUGUUAGCAUCAACAACACUGCGGCGAGGACGGUUGGUUACCUAU
rnacentral:lncRNA from 1 species